AACGAACGCUGGCGGCAUGCCUAACACAUGCAAGUCGAGCGAACCCUUCGGGUCUAUCGGCGGACGGGUGAGUAACCCGUGGGAACGUUCCCUUCUCUAUGGAAUAUCUCCGGGAAACUGGUAAUAAUACGGUAUACGCCCUAUUGGGGAAAGAUUUAUUGGAGAAGGAUGGUCCCUAGUUGGAUUAGGUUUUUGUGUGGGUAAUGGCUCACGAAGCCGCCGAUGCAUAGAUGGUUAGAGAGGAUGCUCAGCCACACUGAGAGUGAGACACGGCCCAGACUCCUACGGGAGGCAGCAGUGGCGAAUCGUAGAACAUGGCGGCAAUGAUGAUGGAGCCAUGACGGGAGAGCGCUGAAGGUCUUAGGGUUGUAAAGCUCUUUCAGCUGGGAAGAUAAUGACGGUACCAGCAGAAGAAGCCACGGCUAACUACGUG
rnacentral:rRNA from 1 species